rnacentral:rRNA from 1 species
CAGGCCUAACACAUGCAAGUCGAACGGUAACAUGAGAGCUUGCUCUUGAUGACGAGUGGCGCACGGGUGAGUAACGCGUAUGCAAUCUACCUAUAACUGAGGAAUAGCCCAGAGAAAUUUGGAUUAAUACCUCAUAAUAACAUUUAUUGGCAUCAGUAAGUGUUUAAAACUCCGGUGGUUAUAGAUGAGCAUGCGUUCUAUUAGUUUGUUGGUAAGGUAAAAGCUUACCAAGACUACGAUAGAUAGGGGGCCUGAAAGGGUGAUCCCCCACACUGGUACUGAGACACGGACCAGACUCCUACGGGAGGCAGCAGUGAGGAAUAUUGCACAAUGGAGGAAACUCUGAUGCAGCCAUGCCGCGUGCAGGAUGACGGCCCUACGGGUUGUAAACUGCUUUUUUACAAGAAGAAACCUUGGUACGUGUACCAACUUGACGGUAUUGUAAGAAUAAGCACCGGCUAACUCCGUGCCAGCAGCCGCGGUAAUACGGAGGGUGCAAGCGUUAUCCGGAUUUAUUAGGUUUAAAGGGUUCGCAGGCGGAAUUUUAAGUCAGUGGUGAAAGCCUAUAGCUUAACUAUAGAAUUGCCACUGAUACUGAUAUUCUUGAGUGUAGAUGAAGUGGGCGGAAUAUGUCAUGUAGCGGUGAAAUGCAUAGAUAUGACAUGGAACACCAAUUGCGAAGGCAGCUCACUAAACUAUUACUGACGCUCAUGAACGAAAGCAUGGGGAGCGAACAGGAUUAGAUACCCUGGUAGUCCAUGCUGUAAACUAUGAUCACUAGAUAUUGGCGAUAUAUUGUCAGUGUUUAAGAGAAAUCAUUAAGUGAUCCACCUGGGGAGUACGU